GGGAGGCUACGCUCCGAAGUUUACAGGCGUCGGAAGUGAAGUUGGAACUCGCGGAGCGGUGACGGCUGCGGAUGUCGCGCUGCAGAGCCAAGUUACCCGUCCUCCUUUCCACAGUUUCCCAUUGGCUCAUUUCCACAAAUAUUGUGCCUGGCCCUGCGGAUAAGCCCAAUCAGGGUGGAAAAUAAACUGGCAAGAGAUUGCAGUGUGGUGUGAGUGGAAAUAGAUGGGCGUCGUUAUUCCCAUUCCAGAGGAGCCUCCUUCAGUUCAGUUCUGUUCAGUUGCUCUGUCGUGUCCAACUCUGCGACCCCAUGGACUGCAGCACGCCAGGCCUCCCUGUCCAUCGCCAACUCCUGGAGUUUACUCAAACUCAUGUCCACUGAGUCGGGAAAUAGAGGAAAAUAACAGAAUGGGAAGGAUAGAGAUCUCCAAGAAAAUUGGAGAUACCAAAGGAACAUUUCAUGCAAAGAUGGGCACAAUAAAGGACAGAAAUGGUGGACACAUCCUAAGGACCAGCAAGACGUGGCUCACAGGGAACCUCUUUAGUUAGGUGGCCAACCCUGUCACUAAGCAUUUCCUGACCUGAUUGUUGUCUCAGCCUAAACACUGGCUCACUCGCUCCAAACCAAAUUUACAUUAUGAUUAUUGCUUUCACAGUGAAACCUAUAUGUGGACUUCAAGGGUGUGUAUGAGACAAAGUGACAACCCAGCUCCUAAAUAAACAGUUGAUUAAUUGUAACAG
ensembl:lncRNA